AGUAACAUGUGGGUAUCUGCCCUUUGGCCUGGAAUAACACGAGGAAACUUGUGCUAAUACCGGAUAAGUCUUUACGGAGAAAGCUUUAUGCACCAUUGGAUGAGCCCGCACUUGAUUAGUUUGUUGGUGGGGUAAUGGCCUACCAAGACUGUGAUCAAUAGCUGAUUUGAGAGGAUGAUCAGCCACAUUGGGACUGAGACACGGCCCAAACUCCUACGGGAGGCAGCAGUGGGGAAUCUUGCACAAUGGAGGAAACUCUGAUGCAGCGAUGCCGCGUGAGUGAAGAAGGCCUUUGGGUUGUAAAGCUCUUUCGUCGGGGAA
rnacentral:rRNA from 1 species